AACGCUGGCGGCAGGCUUAACACAUGCAAGUCGAGCGGGGUGAUGUAGCUUGCUACAUUACCUAGCGGCGGACGGGUGAGUAAUGCUUAGGAAUCUGCCUAUUAGUGGGGGACAACAUUCCGAAAGGAAUGCUAAUACCGCAUACCCCCUACGGGGGAAAGCAGGGGAUCUUCGGACUUUGCGCUAAUAGAUGAGCCUAAGUCAAAUUAGCUAGUUGGUGGGGUAAGGGCCUACCAAGGCGACUAUCUGUAGCGGGUCUGAGAGGAUGAUCCGCCACACUGGGACUGAGACACGGCCCACACUCCUACGGGAGGCAGCAGUGGGGAAUAUUGGACAAUGGGCGCAAGCCUGAUCCAGCCAUGCCGCGUGUGUGAAGAAGGUCUUUUGGUUGUAAAGCACUUUAAGCGAGGAGGAGGCUACUUAUAUUAAUACUCUAGGAUAGUGGACGUUACUCGCAAAAUAAGCACCGGCUAUCUCUGUGCCAGCAGCCGCGGUAAUACAGAGGGUGCGAGCGUUAAUCGGAUUUACUGGGCGUAAAGCGUGCGUAGGCGGCUUUUUAAGUCGGAUGUGAAAUCCCUGAGCUUAACUUAGGAAUUGCAUUCGAUACUGGGAAGCUAGA
rnacentral:rRNA from 1 species